rnacentral:lncRNA from 1 species
AUGCUGGAAAAAGCAUGCGCUUUUUUUUUAAAAGAUUUAUUUAUUUAUUUAUCCCCCCCACCCCUACCCCCACCACGGUUGUCUGUUCUCUGUGUCUAUUUGCUGCUUCAUCUUUGUCCGCUUCUGUUGUCAGCAGCAUGGGAAUCUGUGUCUCUUUUUGUUGCUUCAUCUUGUUGUGUCAGCUCUCCUUGUGUGCAGCGCCAUUCCUGGGCAGUCUGCACUUUCUUUGGCACUGGGCGGCUCUCCUUCCAGGGUGCACUCCUUACGGUACAACCCUGGAUGACAGGGCACUCCUUGUGCACAUCAGCACUGGGCAUGGGCCAGCUCCACACAGGUCAAGGAGGCCCAGGGUUUGAACCGCGGACCUCCAAUGUGGUAGACGGAUGCCCUAACCACUGGGCCAAGUCCACUUCCCAAAGCAUGCGCUUUUUAUACAAUGUGGUAUAUAGCCAGGUGGGGACUUAUGAAGUGGUUCAUUGUUGUCUAUAAAUUAAAUCUCUGAAUUCUUGCUAUGUGUGUCUAUAUCUUAAUAGAUUUCAUGCUUACUUCUUGUUGCAAACAAUGCGUUUUAGAUUUUUCUAAUUUCAACAUAAGGAAUUUCUACAUGUGAUCCUGGGGCUCAUUUUAUUUGGGGAAAGCCCCAAAACCAGGAACUUGAGGCCACACACCCAGGAACAGAAUCCACAACCUGCUCUAGGCUGAGUUCCCUGUGGGAAACAAGGCCAGUGCUCCUGGGCAAGGGGCUUGGCCACCUACUGGCCUGAUGGUGGACAUAGGCCCACAGAUAAGACCUGCAGCUCCUGCCUGGAUGACCCUAUGCCAAUCACAUGCCCCUGCCCACUGAGCUCUGAACAGUCCCAGCAUCACUGGGUCAGCACGUCCUGAGCCAGAUCCUGCUGUGGUCAUCUGACAGUGAGACCAAGACUUCUCCAUGUCCAGCUCAAGUGUAUUUGGGAAGGUGAGCUUCCCUCUUCAUGGUGGGCGGUGGCUCUGCCUCUACCAAGGCUCCUUAAGUGUGAAACUCCCUGAUGUGGGAAGAGGUCCAGGUGCUGCAGGAUGAGCAUGGAGGAUGGAAAGUGAGGACAGAGGUCAAUUCCUGGAGCCAGGAUCAGCCUGGAACUUUAUUGGUACAUUGAUGGCACUUGGGUUUGGUUGGAUAAGUGGGUGACUAAUAAAUGACAUCUUUUGUCCUAUUUCCUUAUUUUGUUAUGGUUUCACCUUUUGUCUCUGUCAGUUUAUCCUCAUGAAUAAGUAGAGGUACACUGCUGGAUGGAUAAAUGUUUCCUUUAUACAUCUCUCCCUGUCUUUUUCUCUUACUAAGAUAAAAAAAAAAGAAAGAAACAAAUCUCUAAGACUUCAAAGGAUCAUGUGUGCACUGGCAUUUCAUAUAACUUUUAUAUUUCCUUGUACAUGCACAUAUUUCUGUGGAGAGGACCCAUAGCCAUAAUAGUUUUUAUGCGACCCCAUAAGACUCUAACAUACCCCCCAAG